rnacentral:tRNA from 1 species
UAGUAGCUCAAUUGGAUAGAGCAACAGCCUUCUAAGCUGUGGGUUACAGGUUCGAUUCCUGUCUGG